AGUGAACGCUGGCGGUAGGCCUAACACAUGCAAGUCGAACGGCAGCACAGUAAGAGCUUGCUCUUACGGGUGGCGAGUGGCGGACGGGUGAGGAAUACAUCGGAAUCUACUUUUUCGUGGGGGAUAACGUAGGGAAACUUACGCUAAUACCGCAUACGACCUACGGGUGAAAGCAGGGGAUCUUCGGACCUUGCGCGAUUGAAUGAGCCGAUGUCGGAUUAGCUAGUUGGCGGGGUAAAGGCCCACCAAGGCGACGAUCCGUAGCUGGUCUGAGAGGAUGAUCAGCCACACUGGAACUGAGACACGGUCCAGACUCCUACGGGAGGCAGCAGUGGGGAAUAUUGGUCAAUGGGCGCAAGCCUGAUCCAGCCAUACCGCGUGGGUGAAGAAGGCCUUCGGGUUGUAAAGCCCCUUUGUUGGGAAAGAAAAGCAGCAGGUUAAUACCCCGCUGUUCUGACGGUACCCAAAGAAUAAGCACCGGCUAACUUCGUG
rnacentral:rRNA from 1 species